UACGUAGGGUGCAAGCGUUAUCCGGAAUUAUUGGGCGUAAAGAGCUCGUAGGCGGUUUGUCGCGUCUGCUGUGAAAACUGGAGGCUCAACCUCCAGCCUGCAGUGGGUACGGGCAAACUAGAGUGCGGUAGGGGAGAUUGGAAUUCCUGGUGUAGCGGUGGAAUGCGCAGAUAUCAGGAGGAACACCGAUGGCGAAGGCAGAUCUCUGGGCCGUAACUGACGCUGAGGCAGCGAAAGCAU
rnacentral:rRNA from 1 species